UGUAAACCUCUUUUAGCAGGGAAGAAGCGAAAGUGACGGUACCUGCAGAAAAAGCGCCGGCUAACUACGUGCCAGCAGCCGCGGUAAUACGUAGGGCGCAAGCGUUAUCCGGAAUUAUUGGGCGUAAAGAGCUCGUAGGCGGUUUGUCGCGUCUGCUGUGAAAUCCCGAGGCUCAACCUCGGGCCUGCAGUGGGUACGGGCAGACUAGAGUGCGGUAGGGGAGAUUGGAAUUCCUGGUGUAGCGGUGGAAUGCGCAGAUAUCAGGAGGAACACCGAUGGCGAAGGCAGAUCUCUGGGCCGUAACUGACGCUGAGGAGCGAAAGGGUGGGGAGCAAACAGGCUUAGAUACCCUGGUAGUCCACCCCGUAAACGUUGGGAACUAGUUGUGGGGUCCAUUCCACGGAUUCCGUGACGCAGCUAACGCAUUAAGUUCCCCGCCUGGGGAGUACGGCCGCAAGGCUAAAACUCAAAGGAAUUGACGGGGACCCGCACAAGCGGCGGAGCAUGCGGAUUAAUUCGAUGCAACGCGAAGAACCUUACCAAGGCUUGACAUAUACGAGAACGGGCCAGAAAUGGUCAACUCUUUGGACACUCGUAAACAGGUGGUGCAUGGUUGUCGUCAGCUCGUGUCGUGAGAUGUUGGGUUAAGUCCCGCAACGAGCGCAACCCUCGUUCUAUGUUGCCAGCACGUAAUGGUGGGAACUCAUGGGAUACUGCCGGGGUCAACUCGGAGGAAGGUGGGGAUGACGUCAAAUCAUCAUGCCCCUUAUGUCUUGGGCUUCACGCAUGCUACAAUGGCCGGUACAAAGGGCUGCAAUACCGCGAGGUGGAGCGAAUCCCAAAAAGCCGGUCCCAGUUCGGAUUGAGGUCUGCAACUCGACCUCAUGAAGUCGGAGUCGCUAGUAAUCGCAGAUCAGCAAC
rnacentral:rRNA from 1 species